rnacentral:rRNA from 1 species
GAUGAGCGCUGGCGGCGUGCCUAAUACAUGCAAGUCGAGCGAACGGACGAGAAGCUUGCUUCUCUGAUGUUAGCGGCGGACGGGUGAGUAACACGUGGAUAACCUACCUAUAAGACUGGGAUAACUUCGGGAAACCGUAGCUAAUACCGGAUAAUAUUUUGAACCGCAUGGUUCAAAAGUGAAAGACGGUCUUGCUGUCACUUAUAGAUGGAUCCGCGCUGCAUUAGCUAGUUGGUAAGGUAACGGCUUACCAAGGCAACGAUGCAUAGCCGACCUGAGAGGGUGAUCGGCCACACUGGAACUGAGACACGGUCCAGACUCCUACGGGAGGCAGCAGUAGGGAAUCUUCCGCAAUGGGCGAAAGCCUGACGGAGCAACGCCGCGUGAGUGAUGAAGGUCUUCGGAUCGUAAAACUCUGUUAUUAGGGAAGAACAUAUGUGUAAGUAACUGUGCACAUCUUGACGGUACCUAAUCAGAAAGCCACGGCUAACUACGU